CACAGCUGGGCGACGGGCGUUCGACUUAAACCCUCGACUGUCGGGUCACACGACGGUUGGGAGGCUGAUCUAAAGUCGGAAUUCGCUCUGCCUUUGCCACGGCAUGCGCUACCAACUAUUUUGGAUCGUUACCUGGGAUCCUACCGAACGUCCUAAUUAGCACGUUGGGCUUACGACUUAUGCAUUCGAAAGCAUUUCGGCGAAAUACACAAGACACAUCCCAGGAUACAUAGAGACA
rnacentral:lncRNA from 1 species